rnacentral:rRNA from 1 species
UACAGAGGUCUCAAGCGUUGUUCGGAUUCAUUGGGCGUAAAGGGUGCGUAGGCGGCGCGGUAAGUCGGGUGUGAAAUCUCGGGCUUAACUCCGAAACUGCAUUCGAUACUGCCGUGCUUGAGGACUGGAGAGGAGACUGGAAUUUACGGUGUAGCGGUGAAAUGCGUAGAUAUCGUAAGGAAGACCAGUGGCGAAGGCGGGUCUCUGGACAGUUCCUGACGCUGAGGCACGAAGGUCAGGGGAGCAAACGGGAUUAGAACCUACGU